rnacentral:rRNA from 1 species
UACGUAGGGUGCGAGCGUUGUCCGGAUUCACUGGGUUUAAAGGGUGCGCAGGCGGCCCGCUAAGUCAGCGUUCAAAGUCCGGGGCCCAACCCCGGGUCGGGCGCUGAUACUGGCGGGCUUGAGACAGGUGAAGGCAGGCGGAAUUUGUGGUGUAGCGGUGAAAUGCUUAGAUACCACAAGGAACACCGAUCGCGAAGGCAGCCUGCCGCGCCUCACAGUCUGACGCUCAGGCACGAAAGCGUGGGGAGCAAACAGG